rnacentral:rRNA from 1 species
CCCGGCCAAGGAGGAGCAGCGCGUCGCCUGUGCGUGCACCUGAGUGCACAGACGAACUGAUGGCGAGCACUUUGGAAUAGGAGUGGGGGUGCGCUUAUAGAUAGGUCAAAGAAAGGGACGGCGAGAAGAGAGACAGAGAGUUAGGGGUGUUAGGGUUGCGGCCACUGACACGAACUCCCCAGGCACGAACUCCACGCGGCGCUCGCCCCUCGACGCAGGUACUUCGCGGUGGUGCUGCUCGACGCGGGCGCCGGUGCCGCUCGACGCGCCGGCACGGGUAGCUCGCUCCAGCACCUCGCCGGCCGGACACCGCCUCCGACAAACACAGGAGCCGGGCUGCUGCUACGCGUCUCCCCUGCGCGACCCCUGGGCCACGACCUUGGCCGUACCCCUAGACGAAGUUGGUCGUCGCCCUAAACGAAGUUGCCGCUCCUACCACCACCUGCCGCUGUUUCCACAGGCAGCACCUCUCCUGUUACAGCCCGCUGGUGCCGGCGUCCACGGUACUAAAAACGACGUGUCUAAAAAACGACCUUGGUUGUAAAACUGAACAACGUUAGCCGUUCCUACCACGACCCCGUCGAUGCCGCUGCUGCGGUACUAAAAAAACAAACGACGUAACUAGAAAAAAGAAGAAAACUCCUUGGUAAAAAGUAAAAACGACCUUGAUAUAGUUAAAAAACAACCUUGGUACACACGAAAAACGACCUUGGUAUAGUUACAUAAAGCGACCUUAGUAUCGUAAAAACGACGUUGGUGUAAUAAUAAACGACCUUGGUAUAAUUAAUAAACGACCUUGGUACACCAAACGAAAGUUCGACCGUAACGAAACAAAAAAGACGACGUUGGCUGCUCGCCGCUACGGCUGCCGCUCGCUGCUCGCAACCCCUUGGUCGCCUCGAAGGUCCAGCGCGCCCGUACCUCCAGCGCGCCCGUACCUAGCUACUGUGAAAAACACAAAACAAAGGAAACACGCACGCCCUUUACUGUCUUUUUCCCUUCCUUCUCCUCUUCUCUAGACUACCAAGCGAUGAAGGUUUAGCCUACCGAUCGUCGGCUGGCCGGCUCUCUAAUCCGGCCACGCGGCCGCGGAUAGCAACGGGUUCCCUAUUUGGAUAAACCGACUCUACUACAUGUUCAGCUUCUACGGGAUCGUCACUUUAGGAACCCAAACUACGAAGUACACUGCUU